GGAAGCAAAAGUCGUAACAAGGUUUCCGUAGGUGAACCUGCGGAAGGAUCAUUAUUGUAUAACCGAGGUGCGAGGGCUGUCGCUGACCCGAAAGGUCGUGCACGCCCGAGUGCCCUCACACACAUCCAUCUCACCCCUAUGUGCACCACCGCGUGGGUCCCCCUUUGGCUUGUUCGGAGGGGGGCUUACGUUUUCACACAAACUUUGUAUGCAGUGUAGAAUGUAUUUUUUGUUUUUGCGAUCACGCAAUCAAUACAACUUUCAACAACGGUUCUCUUGGCUCUC
rnacentral:misc_RNA from 1 species